rnacentral:misc_RNA from 1 species
UUUCCGUAGGUGAACCUGCGGAAGGAUCAUUCAUAAUAAGUGUUUUAUGGCACUUUUUUAAAUCCAUAUCCACCUUGUGUGCAAUGUCAGGGUUGAUUUUUCUCUCGAGAGGAUCAGACCCAAACAUCAACUAUAUCUCAACUCUUUGUCUGAAAAAUAUUAUGAAUAAACAAUUCAAAAUACAACUUUCAACAACGGAUCUCUUGGCUCUC